GUGAUGGUAAAUGGUUAAUUGGUUACCGAUGAGGGCCGUGCGUGAUGGUAAAUGGUUAAUUGGUUACCGAUGAGGGCCGUGUGGUUCAGAGUGAUGGUAAAUGGUUAAUUGGUUACCGAUGAGGGCCGUGUGUGAUGGUAAAUGGUUAAUUGGUUACCGAUGAGGGCCGUGUGUGAUGGUAAAUGGUUAAUUGGUUACCGAUGAGGGCCGUGCGGUUCAGAGUGAUGGUAAAUGGUUAAUUGGUUACCGAUGAGGGCCGUGUGUGAUGGUAAAUGGUUAAUUGGUUACCGAUGAGGGCCGUGUGUGAUGGUAAAUGGUUAAUUGGUUACCGAUGAGGGCCGUGUGUGAUGGUAAUUGGUUAAUUGGUUACCGAUGAGGGCCGUGUGUGAUGGUAAAUGGUUAAUUGGUUACCGAUGAGGGCCGUGUGUGAUGGUAAAUGGUUAAUUGGUUACCGAUGAGGGCCGUGUGUGAUGGUAAUUGGUUAAUUGGUUACCGAUGAGGGCCGUGUGUGAUGGUAAAUGGUUAAUUGGUUACCGAUGAGGGCCGUGCGGUCUGCAGAAGAGGACGGAAGUGAAAGGGCUCCAAAUAAAUGGCAGAUGCAAGUGCAGUCCUGGUUGGUGAAUUAUGACUAUGGGCUAUGAGGGUUGAUUAAAAUCUGUAUAAAU